AGUAUUUGGAUUCCUUAUAAUAUUUCAAAUUAUUUUCUGUUGGACAGGCAAGAUUAAUUUUGAUGAUAUAAACCUGGAGAAAAACUAUGAUGCACACACAAGUUAUCGACAGAGCAAGCUGGCAAAUGUUCUGUUUACCCGGGAACUAGCUGUCAGACUGAAAGGCACCGAAGUGACAACGAACGCUCUUCAUCCUGGGGUGAUCCAUACUGAGCUGGGCCGACACCUUCUCCCCUCUCUGCCUCUAUGGAAAAGGCUUUUGUUCUUGCCCCUUUUUUUCUUUGUCAAAACCCCUUGGCAGGGUGCGCAGACCACCAUCUACUGCGCAGUGAAUGAGAGUCUGCAGAAUACUAGCGGACUUUACUACAGUGAUUGUGCACCCAAAGAGGCAGCUCCUCAGGGUAGAGAUGAUGCUGCAGCCCGCAGACUGUGGGAUCUCAGUGCUUCUAUGGUGGGCCUGGCUUGAGACAAGACCUUGCCCCGUGAAAAUCACUCUCUUCAUUUAAAAAUCAGUUUGUCACAUUUCCUGUGUAGAAUGUGCAUUUCAAAUUUGCAGACUAGUAAAUCUGCUACUUUAUAUCAAGUACAGAGAGCCAGUUUAAGAAUGUAGCAAAGUAGUGUUUCGGUGUGCAGGAUGAGGCUGGCUCUGUAACAAAGUGCCUAUGCAAUGAGAUGAACUGCAAUAUGAAGUGUGAAUUUCAGCAGUAAAUAAUUAGUGAGAUUUUAUAUACUGUAAUGCCAUUAGCCAUUUUGCAUAGCGUAAUUAGACAUUUAAUGUACCUUUUAAAAAUAGAUUUCAUUGCCAGUACUUAUGUAAUUUGUUACCAUGUUUCACAAUAAAAUUGUGUAAUAUGAAUUUAGGUUAACAUUUCAAUAAAGCCUAUUUUUGAAUAAUGAAAUAAAGACAAUGAAUCAGUACCCUCUAUAAAAUGAGUUUAUGGUAAAGGUAAAGAGCAUUUUAUAAAAGCUGUAGCACAACAUGAGCAGGAUUUUGGAAUAAAAUUUGAGUUUUUAAAAUUCCCUUACAUAAACAGUUUGUUUGAAAUCUCAUUGUAAAUAAGCACAUUUAAAAUAUUACACUUUGAUAUUGUUUUCAUUAAGUGACAAGCAUGAUUGUCAUGAAAUGAUAAUCAAGUCUGUAUUAAGAAGAGUAACAAACACUUUACCAAUUAGCAAAGUGCCUCAAUCUAAAAACUAAUUCUCUUUGGGGCUAUAA